rnacentral:lncRNA from 1 species
UUCGGGUGACUAAUGGAGAAAGGGGGUUGUAAACUGAGCUGGGUGCUUGCUGGGUGGUCAUCUGGCCUCAUUCACUGGAGAUUCAGAGGAUGAAGGCCCAAUCUAGGGAGGGGGGGGGGGGGGGGGGGGGGGUGAGCUCUUCCAGCAUCUGCGGCAGAGAGAUGGGGAAGUGGGCAGAGGGUGUCAGGGACCCUCUGCUCAAGGCUGUGCCGUUUGGGGCGGUGGUUGGAGGUGGGUCCUCACAGUGCGGCUGCACAGCCAACUCUCCCCUGCGCCGUGUGAAAGAGCACAUUCAAUGCUAUGAUUUCAUAUUUGGGAAAGGAGAACAAAAAGACCUAUUGUUUCAGUAAAACACACCAUCAAAAGUAAAGCUGGGCAGAAUCUUCUCCCCGGGAGGAGUGAUGAGAGAGGGGCCUCAUUUUCUUCCUGGGACCAUGGAGGAAGGGAAAGAGGGGUGAUUCAGAAUCCUCUGGAGACACCAUGAUGCUUGAAGAAAACAAGGGUCUAAACAGAGGCGGUGGGGUUUGCAGCAAACAGACCGCGAGCUGAGGAGAGGCCCAUCAGGAGUCCUAGGAAACUUCAGACCUGAGAAAGGCAUUUGGUGCAGAGGAACACCUGGACUGGGAGUCAGCUGGUGUCUACGUCCACUCCUUUUCUCGUGUGACGCUGAGCAACUCCUUUCCCCUUCUGGGUCUCAGUUUCCCCAUCCUUUCAACAAAGGGGUUAGCCCAGAUCCAUGGGGGCCCCUCGAACUUGUCUUUUUCAUCCCCAUUUUUAUCUUUAUCGCCUCUUGCAGAAGAAGAGUAGUCAGAACCAAAGUGAUCAGGUCAGCAGGGCAGUUCACUCCUCUGAACCUCAGUUUCUGCAUCUACAAAAUGGGUAUGAUAAUACCACUGGGCGGUGUUGAGAUGACUGAGCCAUCCUCCGGGUUCCCACUCAGCCUAUUCUCACCCUAUUACAGCACAUACCGCUCUGUGCUGUGGUUUUGUUUCUUGUCAGACUUCCCCACCAGCAGGUCAUCUCCCAAGGUCAGGGGCACUGUCCUGGGCAUCUCUCUGUCUGUAGCACUCAAUGCAGGCCAGCACCUGCAUGGAAUGAAGGCGUGCCUGCGGGCAUGAAAAGAGCUUGGCACACUGCUAGGCACACAGUAGGACCUCAAGUGAGUUGGAAUCAUAAAUAUUUUGGUGUAUUCAGCCAGGUGGGAGCCUGGGACUCUGAGGGAGAUGGCUGGGUUGUGAGAAAGUCCCCAGAUUUCUUCCAAAUCCACAGUCCCAGAGCCCCCUGCCAGGCCCUGGGGCUCUGUCUCACCCUACCUCCCACUGUUGUGCCGCAGGCUGCCCAGGUCUUGCCACACCUGUUCUAGCUCUUCCUCCUGCCGAGACCAAAAGCCAAGCUUUAUCAAACAAACACAGCAUUUAUUGUGGCUCCCUCAAGGUCUGUGGCAGGCCUGGAAGAACAGACAGUACCUUCCUUCCCCCUCCCGUCCCAGAGUUCCAUUAAAGGUCAGCUGUGCCAAGACCAGUAUGCCCUGCAGGGCGGGUAGAGAGAAAAAGAGAGUGUGGGCUCUGGUGCUCGCCGAGGGACCUUGGGCAAGUCACUGGCCACCUCUCGCUCUCAUCUUCUUCCCCACUUGCCUUGCUGUGACCCAACCAGGCCACCACCAUCUUUCUGUAACAGCCUCGGGAGGCACUCCCACCUCCAGGCUUCCUCUCCGUACUCCUAACCCACCUGUGCCCCUUUCCAAGCCAUUCACCUCAGAAUAGCCAAGGGACUACUCGCGUG